AAGAGUGGAAAAACUCCCUUGACGGUACUUAAUGAAUAAGCCCCGGCUAAUUAUGUGCCAGCAGCCGCGGUAAUACAUAAGGGGCGAGCGUUAUCCGGAAUUAUUGGGCGUAAAGGGUGCGUAGGCGGUUUAAUAAGUCUAUAGUUUAAUUUCAGUGCUUAACGCUGUUGUGCUAUAGAAACUGUUUUACUAGAGUGAGAUAGAGGCAAGCGGAAUUCCAUGUGUAGCGGUAAAAUGCGUAAAUAUAUGGAGGAACACCAGAGGCGUAGGCGGCUUGCUGGGUCUUUACUGACGCUGAGGCACGAAAGCGUGGGGAGCAAACAGGAUUAGAUACCCUGGUAGUCCACGCCGUAAACGAUGAGUACUAAGUGUCGGGUAAAACUGGUACUGAAGUUAACACAUUAAGUACUCCGCCUGAGUAGUACGUACGCAAGUAUGAAACUUAAAGGAAUUGACGGGACUCCGCACAAGCGGUGGAUCAUGUUGUUUAAUUCGAAGAUACACGAAAAACCUUACCAGGUCUUGACAUUUUCUUGCGAAGUUAUAGAAAUAUAAUGGAGGUCAUCAGGAAAACAGGUGGUGCAUGGUUGUCGUCAGCUCGUGUCGUGAGAUGUUAGGUUAAGUCCUAAAACGAGCGCAACCCUUGUCGUUAGUUGCCAGCAUGUAAUGAUGGGGACUUUAACGAGACUGCCAAUGAAAAAUUGGAGGAAGGUGGGGAUUACGUCAAAUCAUCAUGCCCCUUAUGAUCUGGGCUCCAAACGUGAUACAAUGGUUGAUACAAAGAGUAGCUGAAACGCGAGUUCUUAGCCAAUCUCAAAAAAUCAAUCUCAGUUCGGA
rnacentral:rRNA from 1 species